UACGAAGGGGGCUAGCGUUGCUCGGAAUCACUGGGCGUAAAGCGCACGUAGGCGGCUUCUUAAGUCAGGGGUGAAAUCCUGGAGCUCAACUCCAGAACUGCCUUUGAUACUGGGAGUCUCGAGUCCGGGAGAGGUGAGUGGAACUGCGAGUGUAGAGGUGAAAUUCGUAGAUAUUCGCAAGAACACCAGUGGCGAAGGCGGCUCACUGGCCCGGUACUGACGCUGAGGUGCGAAAGCGUGGGGAGCAAACAGG
rnacentral:rRNA from 1 species